GUUUAAUUAAAAAUUAUUUAUCGCUGAAAGAUAUUCCAUCGUGUAAAGAGCGUUGAACUUGAUUUUUCUGAAAAUAUAAACUGAUUUUAUAAUUUAUACAACAAGUUAUAUAAUUUUAUAAACAUCGAAAGAAUGUAAAACGUUUUGCAAGUCAAAUAAAUGCAUAAGGGAUUUUUAACCUAUCCUCUCAAUUGUAGACAAGUACAGUCGACCUUGCACUUGAUCUUUGAAGAUAUUUAAUCUUAAACAAUCAAUAUAGUAAAUAUUUCUAAAAGCGAUAAUCGUUUAAUGAAAGGAAAUCAGACGGAAACACAUGCCCAGGCUAUUUAAAAAACUUAUUGAACUGUCGAUAGAUGUCUCGUUUUAUCGUAUUUUUUUAAUUACUAGAAUUUCAAUGCAAUCAAAAUACAUUCUGAUUUAUAUAUAAAACUUCCUUAAACAUUAUUUAAAGAAUCAUUUAAAGUUUAAGCCAAAAGUAGGCUACUAUAAUAACUUACGAUAACAUAUUAAGCGGGAUGAAGAUAAUUAUGGAAGUUAACUGACAUUAUAUUUUGGCAGAUAGUCCAAUAUACUCUCUUGUUGACAAUUAUGAAAAGGGUAAGUGCGUCAUUUCAUCUCGGAACGGAAAGCAUCUCUCUGCUCGGUUGCGUCAUAUCCUACCCCCUUUUAUGACUGCUGGAUGUCUCUGUGUCAGAGAGGUCACCAAAGAGGUCACGGGUCGGACAUUGCAAGCGGACGAUGUUUACUCGCUUUAGUAUCAUGGCGUGAGAAAUCCGUAGAGGUAAAUUUUAUUCAAGGCGGUAAUAUUAGAUACAUGUUUUUCCUUCGUUUGUUUAUUUGUAACUUAAUAUUGACCAUUUCUUCCGCUAAAAUGAAAACACAAAAAAAAAUGUCUACGCAUUUUACACUGAAUCAUUUAUUUAACUGCAGUCUGAAUAAAUGUUCCAAUUCGUUAAAUUUCCAUGUUAAUAGUGACAC
rnacentral:lncRNA from 1 species